UCCCUCAUUGGAUUGUUGGUUUUUUGGUUUAAUUAAUUCCAUAGAAAAAUUUUCUUAUUUUCAGUCCUAAUUUUUUCUUAAAUAUGAUAUUUUAAAUUAUUUUCGAAUAUCACUAAUUUCUACAAUCUGAAAGCGAAUCCAUAUUCCAUACCCACUCCCAUAUAUUUAAUUCAUAAAUAUAUUUAUCAAUGGUAAAUUUCUAUUCUUGAAUAGAUAAACGGCUCCCUAACUAAUUUGAGGUUUUCCAAAAAUCAAUUUCGUAGAAAAAUUUUAUUGUUUAUUAUAUCACCACUUUCUAUGAUUUUGCAACCGGCCAUAUUCACUCCAUUUGAGGAGAAAAAGAUUUUUGGAGAUAAUUUGCAGGAUUGAUUCUCUUGGAAAGACCACAAUUUAUGCAGUAUAAAUUAGCUAUAUGUGAAAUAUCUAUUGAGCUACACAUGGAAUGUAUGUGAUGUAAAAUAAGUUAAGUAAUGGCAGCUAUCAGCUUUGCAACACUAAACAAUAAUAGAAGGCACAAGGCAUACAGACAAAUAAGGUAUAGCCACACAUGACAGCACCGAACAGUCAAGUGAUGGAUUCUUCAAGAGUUUGCC
rnacentral:lncRNA from 1 species